rnacentral:rRNA from 1 species
GACGAACGCUGGCGGCGUGCUUAAUACAUGCAAGUCGAACGAACAGACGCUGAUUUUGCGGGGUGCUCGAGUGGCGCACGGGUGAGUAACACGUGUGUAACACCCACCUGUCUUUCUGAUAUAUUCAGGGGACUCGGGCUAAUACCGGAUAGGAUCUCCUGAAGCACGGUGGUCAUUGGAAAAUUUCGGCGGUUGUGGAUGGUAUCGCGGCUUAUCAGCUUGUUGGUGGGGUAGUGGAUUACCAAGGCUUUGACGGGUAGCCGGCCUGAGAGGGUGACCGGCCACAUUGGGACUGAGAUACGGCCCAGACUCCUACGGGAGGCAGCAGUGGGGAAUAUUGCACAAUGGGCGGAAGCCUGAUGCAGCAACGCCGCGUGCGGGAUGACGGCCUUCGGGUUGUAAACCGCUGUCGCCUGUGACGAAGCGUGAGUGACGGUAAUGGGUAAAGAAGCACCGGCUAACUACGUG